CAGAGGCCGAGGGGCCGUGUGUCACUGUGGGGGUGGGGAGACUGGCUCGGGGCCGGGAAGCAGGGGUGUGAAGGAGGCUCGUUCAUCAUUUUCCCAUUAUCCUUAGGACGCGGAAGGGAGCCCGUGCCACCCACUGCCCAUGGGGCAGCGCGAGUGUGGGGUUGGGCCUGGGGAGGGACCCCCCCACCACCGGGAAGGACACCCUGGCAGGUGAGCCAGCAGCUGUGGGUCAGGCCCCGGAGCCCUGGAGUGGGCAGCAGAGAGGACAGGAGUCACCCAAGGCCACGAGACCCACCAUCGGGCAGGACUUUGGGGCCGUUAUGGCUGCUGGGCCCCAAUGGGUGCACCUGAAAGCCCACCCCGUGGCCUUGGUGUGUGGUGGUGCUUCCCAUACCUGUAAGCUCCAUGCCUGUGCUCCUGCUGUACCCCUACCUGAGAUGCCUGCCCCUCCUGAGAGGCCCAGUUCCCUGCCACCUCCUACAGGAAGCCUUCCCUGAUGUACCCCUGCCCCCAACACACGCCUGCACACACAGGGCCUCAACCUGCAGUCCGAUAUCAAGUCCCCCUUGCCCAGCUGGCAAGCUCUGCAGGGACAGGGGCUGUUCUGGUUUGGGCACCGUGGGGCCCACAGGACCCAGUCCAGGGGAAGUAUCGCGUGAUCUCGUUGACCUCGUCUUCCCUUUGCAGGCACUCGGGAUCGGGCUUUCGGCAGGUGCCCAGGGCAUGGAGCCUCGGGUUAGUGGCAGCCACACAGGACCACCUCCGCCCGGAUGGAGGGGGCUGUGGGCCGGGGAGCCCGUCUGACCCUGGGGCACUUGUUGGGGCAGGGGCCUCUGCUGCCGUGAACCCUCCCCUCCCGGAGUGUCAGCGUCUUCCUCCCCGGACUCCCAGAAGGUCCCACUCUUGCAGAAGACAGAUGGCACCAUGCGCUCCGCAGGGACAGACCCACAGCCCUGCCUCACCAGCACCCUCUCCUGCCUCCCCCAGGAAGAACAGAAGGCCCUGCACUGCUCACCCCUCAGGGGACCCUGAGUGGGGACCAGGGGGCGGAUCCAUCCAGGGACAGCCCCACCCCAGGUGGGGGGGCCGGGGUGGUGGUGGGUGGACCCAGUGGGCACGCAGGGAACUCCCAGUGGCAGUGAACCAGAACGCAAGAGCCAACGACCCCAGCCCCCCCCAACCAGGGGCUCAGGAACUCCCUUCGCAAACACUUGGCAUGUCGUUGGGCUAUUUGAAUAAUAAA
rnacentral:lncRNA from 1 species